rnacentral:rRNA from 1 species
CCUGGCGGCGAUAGCGCGGUGGUCCCACCUGACCCCAUGCCGAACUCAGAAGUGAAACGCCGUAGCGCCGAUGGUAGUGUGGGGCUUC